ACGACCAUUUCAAGAGUUCACAGU
rnacentral:siRNA from 1 species